CCUUGGUAGGCAGUGCUAGGAAGAUACUCUGCUGCUGCGGGCAGUGCUUCUGGAGCAUCACCCGUGACAAUGUGCUACUAUUGCCCUAAAGGGAUGCCAGCUUUAGUCUCUAAAACUUUAUUCUAAAGAUCAAAAAGGAAAGGAUUUUAUUGCUGAGGAACUUUCAAUGAGAGCACACUGCAGUCCUCUACAGAUCUGCCUGUACUUGCCUUUUUGCACCUUCAUGGACAAGAUUUACAGAACAAAUGCUUUACUACCUGUUUGAAGACGUCUCCCGGACAGAUCUUUGCACUACUCAUCUAGUACUAUUGAAUGGCGGAUAGCACUGAACAACUCUGCAUGUAUCAUCGUAUUUGACCAAGGAGGAGCUGAUGAAUCAUCACUGUGUUCAACAAGCGAUGAAAUUUCUAGUCCGGUGCCAGUGAAACUGGGGCACUGCAGCAUCAUAAACUAUCACUACAUUGAUAACACACAGGCUAUUAACCUUCCAAAACAUUCACCUCGGAGUCUGAACUUCGCAGUACUUCAGCUUCAAUUCUGAGAAAUGUCUCUAUUCCACAACAACAUGAUAAGUGAGAGUGAAUUAAGUCCCUUGUGCACCAAAAGAUGCAAGUUGCCAGACCAAGAUGAAGAGGUGUAUUCUCCUGGAUCCUUGGGUGGCUCAAUUCAGGCUGGCUGAGUUCAUUGCACUGGCUGUGGGCAGGGGCAGCCUGCCAGCACAACUUCACUUUCUGUGGAUAUGGCACUGACUGACAAGCUGCUGGCAACAGUAGUUCUCGCUUGGUGUUUUCGUAGCUCAUCGUAGAUGAGUGAGUAAGUGCACAGCCCCAUGUGCACAGAUACGCACCAAUUACUUUGUCAUGCCAUCCAGUUAGGAGCUUGAUGAAGAUCACCGUGGUGCAUCUUCCCCCCCAGUUUUCCCCAGUGGAAGACUUCAGGGCUUUGGAGGGCACAUGCAAGCAUGUCACUCUCUUCAGCGAGCAUUUACUUCUUCUUUGUCAGAGCCUUGCAAACUCAGCUUCAAGCACAGAUGGGCCCAAGUAGACAUUUUCAUUUGAAUUCAGUAAGUCUCCUCGGACUGUGGUUCAGUCAAGAGCAAAGCAGGAGUUCUGCUAAAUUAAGCUGCUGUCUGUGGAAGAACUAAUGCAAUUUUUAGUGUUGAGAAACACUGUGGUUUGAUAGGCUUG
rnacentral:lncRNA from 1 species